CAGACAAACUCCGAAUGCCAAUUAAUUUAACUUGGGAGUCAGAACAUGGGUGAUAAGGUCCGUGUUCGAAAGGGAAACAGCCCAGACCACCAGCUAAGGUCCCAAAAUAUAUGUUAAGUGGAAAAGGAUGUGGCGUUGCCCAGACAACUAGGAUGUUGGCUUAGAAGCAGCCAUCAUUUAAAGAGUGCGUAAUAGCUCACUAGUCGAGUGACACUGCGCCGAAAAUGUACCGGGGCUAAACAUAUUACCGAAGCUGUGGAUUGUCCUUUGGACAAUGGUAGGAGAGCGUUCUAAGGGCGUUGAAGCAUGAUCGUAAGGACAUGUGGAGCGCUUAGAAGUGAGAAUGCCGGUGUGAGUAGCGAAAGACGGGUGAGAAUCCCGUCCACCGAUUGACUAAGGUUUCCAGAGGAAGGCUCGUCCGCUCUGGGUUAGUCGGGUCCUAAGCUGAGGCCGACAGGCGUAGGCGAUGGAUAACAGGUUGAUAUUCCUGUACCACCUAUAAUCGUUUUAAUCGAUGGGGGGACGCAGUAGGAUA
rnacentral:rRNA from 1 species